rnacentral:lncRNA from 1 species
AAAUUUUAAAUAAACAAAAUGAAAAGAAAAGAUGAAUUGAAAUGCAGCAGUUUCUCCAUUUUCCAUCAAAAUCCAAAUUGAAAGAUGCAAUUCUGUGUGACCAACACCUUCCACAACACUCUCACUCUCUCUUCUACCCACAAUUCCUUUUCCUUUCUUUCUCUCUCACCAAUCCUCCCCAAACCAUCAUGUUCCACAAGACGAUUCAUCAUAGCCAAUACCCACAAACCUAAUUCCAACAACAAUGUUCCCAAAGUGAAGGGAAACAAAGAGAAUGUUUGGAGUGUUGAUAACCAACUUGCAAAACUAUCUUCUUCUUCUUCUUCUCAGAAAGAGAAUGGAAGAGGAAGGAAACAGAGAGGGAGGAAAAUCAUUAAGAAGAAAAGGGGUAAGGGUGGUAGAGUUAUUGUUACUGGAGCUAUGUUGCUGGAAGUUGAAACUGUUCUUCAGACUCAGGUACCAUUUUUUUUUCUUCAUUUGGGUCUCUUUUAAAUUGCUUGAAUUUAUGUAAAGUUUUUGUCUUUUGCUUUGUCUAUGCUUUGUCUUUUGCAAAAUUGCCCUUUUUUUUUUCCUUUCUGAAAUUGUAUUUAAAUUGGUCAUUGGACUGUGAUUUUAUAUAUAUGAAUGCUGAGAUUUUGUUAACAAUAUAAGUAUCAAAGGAAUGUAGUAUCAUGGUUUUCGGUAUCUUACAUACAUGUGAGUCGAAUCUCGAUUCUACAUUAAUAAUUUAUAUUUUAUUAAUUAAAUUACAAAAAUAAAAUAUUAUUAAAAUUAAAAAUUAAUUUUUAAAAAAAUUUAUUAUGAUUUUAAUAAUUUUAAUCAACUAUAUCAUCUUGUCAUAUGUUAUAUUAUUUAAAAUACUAUUUUUAUUUUUAUUUAAAAUUGGAAACUAAACUUGAAAUUUUAAAUAAACAAAAUGAAAAGAAAAGAUGAAUUGAAAUGCAGCAGUUUCUCCAUUUUCCAUCAAAAUCCAAAUUGAAAGAUGCAAUUCUGUGUGACCAACACCUUCCACAACACUCUCACUCUCUCUUCUACCCACAAUUCCUUUUCCUUUCUUUCUCUCUCACCAAUCCUCCCCAAACCAUCAUGUUCCACAAGACGAUUCAUCAUAGCCAAUACCCACAAACCUAAUUCCAACAACAAUGUUCCCAAAGUGAAGGGAAACAAAGAGAAUGUUUGGAGUGUUGAUAACCAACUUGCAAAACUAUCUUCUUCUUCUUCUUCUCAGAAAGAGAAUGGAAGAGGAAGGAAACAGAGAGGGAGGAAAAUCAUUA